rnacentral:rRNA from 1 species
AAACCGCAUAGGGGUUAAACCCGAUGAACCUGAAUAUCUGAAAUGAGAAAUUCAAUACUAUUUUUAAAAGUGAUUUUUAUAAUUAUUUUUUUUUAAAUUGUAUGCACUUUUCUCAUAGUAAGACAUUGCAAUCUAUUAGUAUAUCUAAUAUUAUAUAGAUGGUUUAUUAAACGGCUCAUAUAAUUUGUUUAUUCUAUCUGUAAUAUUUUUGUUGAAAUGUUAUAUGAAUAAUAUUGUUGUGAUGACCUAAUAAACAGCUGAUAGAUUAUUUAAAAUGAUGCAAACAUAUUUAUUUAUGUGUUAUACAUUUAUGUAUAAUAGCAUGUAUUUGAUUAGCAAUGCGAUAGAUUUAGGAUACCUUCGGGACCCGUCUUGAAACACGGACCAAGAAGUCUAACAUGUGUGUAAGUCAUUGGGUAUUUUGUUGAAACCUAAAGACGUAAUUAAAAUAACUAUUUUAUUGGGAUUACAAAUAAUACUUAUGAUAUUAUUUCUCCAUCCCGGGGCGUUCCAUACGAACAUGAUUUAAGCAAUUGAGUCCUCUGUUCAGGAGCGUACCUUGAAUACACAUGCUGU